CCUAGGGAGGCAGCAGUGGGGAAUAUUGGACAAUGGGGGAAACCCUGAUCCAGCAAUGCCGCGUGUGUGAAGAAGGCCUGCGGGUUGUAAAGCACUUUCGGUUGGGAGGACUGCUUCUAGCACUAAUAUUGUUGGAAGUUGACGUUACCUUCAGAAGAAGCACCGGCUAACUCCGUGCCAGCAGCCGCGGUAAUACGGGAGGUGCAAGCGUUAAUCGGAAUUACUGGGCGUAAAGCGCGCGUAGGCGGCUAGAUCAGUCGGGUGUGAAAGCCCCGGGCUUAACCUGGGAACUGCAUCCGAUACUGUCUAGCUUGAGUACAGGAGAGGAGAGUGGAAUUCCACAUGUAGCGGUGAAAUGCGUAGAUAUGUGGAGGAACACCAAUGGCGAAGGCAGCUCUCUGGCCUGAUACUGACGCUGAGGUGCGAAAGCGUGGGGAGCAAACAGGAUUAGAUACCCUAGUAGUC
rnacentral:rRNA from 1 species